CGGCCUGAGAGGGUGAACGGACACACUGGAACUGAGACACGGUCCAGACUCCUACGGGAGGCAGCAGUAGGGAAUAUUGCUCAAUGGGGGAAACCCUGAAGCAGCAACGCCGCGUGGAGGAUGAAGGUUUUCGGAUUGUAAACUCCUUUUGUUAGAGAAGAUAAUGACGGUAUCUAACGAAUAAGCACCGGCUAACUCCGUGCCAGCAGCCGCGGUAAUACGGAGGGUGCAAGCGUUACUCGGAAUCACUGGGCGUAAAGAGCGCGUAGGCGGGAUAGCAAGUCAGAUGUGAAAUCCUAUGGCUUAACCAUAGAACUGCAUUUGAAACUGUUAUUCUAGAGUAUGGGAGAGGUAGGUGGAAUUCUUGGUGUAGGGGUAAAAUCCGUAGAGAUCAAGAGGAAUACUCAUUGCGAAGGCGACCUGCUAGAACAUAACUGACGCUGAUGCGCGAAAGCGUGGGGAGCAAACAGGAUUAGAUACCCUGGUAGUCCACGCCCUAAACGAUGAAUGCUAGUUGUUGUGGAGCUUGUCUCUGCAGUAAUGCAGCUAACGCAUUAAGCAUUCCGCCUGGGGAGUACGGUCGCAAGAUUAAAACUCAAAGGAAUAGACGGGGACCCGCACAAGCGGUGGAGCAUGUGGUUUAAUUCGAAGAUACGCGAAGAACCUUACCUAGGCUUGACAUUGAUAGAAUCCUAUAGAGAUAUGGGAGUGCCCUUUUAGGGAGCUUGAAAACAGGUGCUGCACGGCUGUCGUCAGCUCGUGUCGUGAGAUGUUGGGUUAAGUCCCGCAACGAGCGCAACCCUCGUCCUUAGUUGCUAGCAGUUCGGCUGAGCACUCUAAGGAGACUGCCUUCGUAAGGAGGAGGAAGGUGAGGACGACGUCAAGUCAUCAUGGCCCUUACGCCUAGGGCUACACACGUGCUACAAUGGGGCGCACAAAGAGGAGCAAUACCGCGAGGUGGAGCAAAUCUCUAAAACGUCUCUCAGUUCGGAUUGUAGUCUGCAACUCGACUACAUGAAGCUGGAAUCGCUAGUAAUCGUGAAUCAGCCAUGUCACGGUGAAUACGUUCCCGGGUCUUGUACUCACCGCCCGUCACACCAUGGGAGUUGUAUUCGCCUUAAGUCGGGAUACUAAAUUGGUUACCGCCCACGGCGGAUG
rnacentral:rRNA from 1 species